GUGCCAGCCGCCGCGUAAUACGGAGGGUGCAAGCGUUGUUCGGAAUUACUGGGCGUAAAGGGCGUGUAGGCGGUAUGGUAAGUCAGAUGUGAAAGCCCUGGGCUUAACCUAGGAAGUGCAUUUGAUACUGCCAUUCUUGAGUAUGGGAGAGGAGAGUGGAAUUCCCAGUGUAGAGGUGAGAUUCGUAGAUAUUGGGAGGAACACCCGUGGCGAAGGCGACUCUCUGGACCAAUACUGACGCUGAGACGCGAAAGCGUGGGUAGCAAACAGGAUUAGAAACCCGCGUAGU
rnacentral:rRNA from 1 species